CAAGUCAGCUGGGCAAUUGCCGCUUAUUCGGUGCAGACUACUUUUGUAAGCUGUGAUGAUGAGGGGAGGAAAGUCCGGGCUCCAUAGAGCAGGGUGCCAGGUAACGCCUGGGGGGUGAGAACUCACGGCCAGUGCAACAGAAAAUAUACCGCCUUGAUUUAACUUUUGUUAUCGAUAGGUAAGGGUGAAAUGGUGCGGUAAGAGCGCACCGCGCGGCUGGUAACAGCUUGCGGCUCUGUAAACCCCACCCGGAGUAAGGCCAAAUAGGGAUCUAAUAAUGUUGCUCGCAUUGGAUUCGGGUAGGCCGCUUCAGAUCUGCGGUGACGCAGUUCGUAGAUGAAUAAUUGUCCUCGACAGAACCCGGCUUAUAGGCUGACUUUCUUU
rnacentral:RNase_P_RNA from 1 species